rnacentral:lncRNA from 1 species
GGGGAGGAAGAGAAUUCUCGCUCACCUCUUUUAUAAGAAUACUUAUUCCAUUCCUGGGAAAUUCACCAUCAUGACUUCAUCACUUCCCAAAGGCUCCACCUGCUAGCAAUGUUCCAUUUCAACAGAUGAAUUUUGAGUGGUCACAAAUGGAAAGAAAUCCAAAAUGAGCUCAAGGAGAGGGCGUCUUGAGCCGGAGUUAAGACUGAAUCGAGAAUCACUUCUCUUCCUUAAUGAAUUCUAACAAAGGACUUAAAGUGUAGAAAACCAGAACAAAGUACAAAGAGCAGGGAUCCUAGAAAGGUAGUUUUGUUUUGAAGAGAUAUUUCCACGAAGGAGGUUGAUCUGCAGAGGAUAUCUUAAGACAGAGAAUCAUCAGAAGAGAGCUGCGUGGACGGGGUUGUUCUGGGGCUGCACCACCGUGAUGAAGAGCCCUCAGGAGCACCCAGACAAAAUGUUUCCACAAUAAUAUUUUGAAGCAAUCACAUACCAAC